rnacentral:rRNA from 1 species
UACAGAGGGGGCAAGCGUUGUUCGGAAUUACUGGGCGUAAAGGGCGCGUAGGCGGCCCGCUAAGUCGAACGUGAAAUCCCCGAGCUCAACUCGGGAACUGCGUCCGAUACUGGCGGGCUUGAAUCCGGGAGAGGGAUGUGGAAUUCCAGGUGUAGCGGUGAAAUGCGUAGAUAUCUGGAGGAACACCCGUGGCGAAGGCGGCUCUCUGGGACGGUACUGACGCUGAGACGCGAAAGCGUGGGGAGCGAACAGG